rnacentral:rRNA from 1 species
GGGGGUAGAAUUCCAGGUGUAGCGGUGAAAUGCGUAGAGAUCUGGAGGAAUACCGGUGGCGAAGGCGGCCCCCUGGACGAAGACUGACGCUCAGGUGCGAAAGCGUGGGGAGCAAACAGGAUUAGAUACCCUGGUAGUCCACGCCGUAAACGAUGUCGACUUGGAGGUUGUGCCCUUGAGGCGUGGCUUCCGGAGCUAACGCGUUAAGUCGACCGCCUGGGGAGUACGGCCGCAAGGUUAAAACUCAAAUGAAUUGACGGGGGCCCGCACAAGCGGUGGAGCAUGUGGUUUAAUUCGAUGCAACGCGAAGAACCUUACCUGGUCUUGACAUCCACGGAAGUUUUCAGAGAUGAGAAUGUGCCUUCGGGAACCGUGAGACAGGUGCUGCAUGGCUGUCGUCAGCUCGUGUUGUGAAAUGUUGGGUUAAGUCCCGCAACGAGCGCAACCCUUAUCCUUUGUUGCCAGCGGUCCGGCCGGGAACUCAAAGGAGACUGCCAGUGAUAAACUGGAGGAAGGUGGGGAUGACGUCAAGUCAUCAUGGCCCUUACGACCAGGGCUACACACGUGCUACAAUGGCGCAUACAAAGAGAAGCGACCUCGCGAGAGCAAGCGGACCUCAUAAAGUGCGUCGUAGUCCGGAUUGGAGUCUGCAACUCGACUCCAUGAAGUCGGAAUCGCUAGUAAUCGUGGAUCAGAAUGCCACGGUGAAUACGUUCCCGGGCCUUGUACACACCGCCCGUCACACCAUGGGAGUGGGUUGCAAAAGAAGUAGGUAGCUUAACCUUCGGGAGGGCGCUUACCACUUUGUGAUUCAUGACUGGGGUGAAGUCGUAACAAGGUAACCGUAGGGGAACCUGCGGUUGGAUCACCUCCUUACCUUAAAGAAGC